AGGGGACUAGUCCAAAACAAGACCUCUGACUUCGACUCAGAAAAUCGUGGUUUAAUUCCA
rnacentral:tRNA from 1 species